AGAGUUUGAUCCUGGCUCAGGAUGAACGCUAGCUACAGGCUUAACACAUGCAAGUCGAGGGGAAACGACAUCGAAAGCUUGCUUUUGAUGGGCGUCGACCGGCGCACGGGUGAGUAACGCGUAUCCAACCUGCCCAUCACUUGGGGAUAACCUUGCGAAAGUAAGACUAAUACCCAAUGAUAUCUCUAGAAGGGCAUCUGAAAGAGAUUAAAAGAUUUAUCGGUGAUGGAUGGGGAUGCGUCUGAUUAGCUUGUUGGCGGGGUAACGGCCACCAAAGCAACGAUCAGUAGGGGUUCUGAGAGGAAGGUCCCCCACAUUGGAACUGAGACACGGUCCAAAACUCCUACGGGAGGCA
rnacentral:rRNA from 1 species